UAAGCAAUAACCAGCUUCAAGUUUUAUACCAUCCCGAUUACGCCGACAACGUUCCUCUUGAGGACUAUGAGGAAGACAGGGACAACAUCUGGACAACCGCUUCCACAUUCAUUAUCCUGUUCUUCCUGAGCAUUUCCUACGGUGCUGCCGUAACUCUGGUGAAGGUCAAGUGACGAUUGAAUGUUGAAAACCGCGUAUUUAUCUGACCGGUCUAUGGACGUCGUUGUAACCAAG